CCGCUGGGCAUUUCCAGAGCAACACCCUGUAGCCACCAGGCGCCUGGAUCUCCGCCCAAGGAGGCCGCUAAGGGGAGUUGUUCAAGCAGAAAAGCUCAGGCUGAUCCCAAAGUUCUUUCCUGCACACUUUGUAGGCGCACAAUCCCCAGCUGCCCUGCAGGCUGCCAGGAGAAACCAGGUUGCUGAGUUGCUGCACAAAUUCAUGCGCUGGACUGUCCCGAGGCAUUACACAGGGAGCAGCCCGCGAGGCGCAUCCUGUAACCACGACUCCUGCUGAACAUCCAGGGAGACUGUGGCCCAGCAGGAGGGGACCUGGACUCGGGGCUGGAAAUCCGCUUCCUCUGAGGCCUGUCACUGAGCUCAGGGGCGUGCUAUUACCGCAGCAGAGCCAGCCUGUCCUGGCUGAUACCACGGUGAUCCGCCUUUGCCUUUCCUGUGGCGACAGCUCGCCGCUGACCUUCCAUUUGUUCUUGUGUUGUCUCGUUUUUGUUUUCUGAAGCAUGGUCCUGUUAUGUAGUUCAGGCUGGCCCCGAAUUCACUAUGUAGCCCAGGCUGGCCUCAAACUUGUGGCGAUCCUCCUGCCUCAGCUUCCCUGGUGCUAGGAUUACAGGUGGGUGACACCACACCUAGAAAAUCCUCUUAUACUUUUAAGGGAUAUUUUCUGACCCACAACUGUACGUCAAGCGUUAUAUACUGAGGAUAGGGAUGAAGAA
rnacentral:lncRNA from 1 species